rnacentral:lncRNA from 1 species
AAAGCCGGAAUCAGACGUCAACAAUUUUCAGUUACGAUCCCAAAGCGAGAAGCUCACACUUAUAAACUCCAGCUUACAUCAACUUCAGAUUUAUCAUUAAACCAAAACGAAAUAACAGGCUGCACGGACGACCGAAAACCGCAAUGGAAAUCGCUAAGGUGUGGCGCGUCAUUUCGCAGCGGUUUUCCGUUUCUUCUUUCAUAACCUUUGGACUGUUUCUCGUGUUGACCAUCACGAUUCUUCAUUUCGAUGCAAGGACCAGAAAGAUAGAAGAGAAAUCAACCGCAGUAAGUACAGGACACCUGAAGUUUCUAUAAUUUAGAUGCAAGAAAUGUAUACGUAUAUCCAUCCAUCCAUCCAUCCAUCCAUCCAUCCAUCCAUCCAUCAUUCCAUAAAUCCAUCUAUCAAUCCAUCCAUCCAUCCAUCCAUCCAUCCAUCCAUCCAUCCAUCCAUCCAUCCAUCAAUUAAUCCAUAGACAGACGUAUAUAUAUAUGUAUGGUUUUAUAUAUUUAUAUAUAACUGUAUAUAUGUGUAUAUGUAUUUAGGCAUAUAUAUAUAUAUAUUUUUAUACAUACACAUACACACAAACAAACACAUUAUCUUUACACAUUCCAUUUUCUCUCUCCGGUUCUUCUCAAUCUCUCUCCCUUUUUAUCCUUUUAAUCCUUUUUAUCCCGUUAAUCCUUUCUGUCGCAGAGCGUGCGGUCGAAAGACAAAAACUCUUCCAUUCUACCCGAGGGUUGAACUUAAUGCACUUGCUUGUGGUUUGUACAACUGUCCUUGACUUUUGUUUUCUGUAAAUUUGAAAUCUAUCUAUCAAUCAAUCAAUCUAUCUAUCUAUCUAUCUAUCUAUCUAUCUAUCUAUCUAUCUAUCUAUCUAUCUAUCUAUCUAUCUAUCUAUCUAUCUAUCUAUCUAUCUAUCUAUCAAUCAAUCUAUCUAUCUAUCUAUCUAUCUAUCUAUCUAUCUAUCUAUCUAUCUAUCUAUCUAUCUAUCUAUCUAUCUAUCAAUCAAUCAAUCUAUCUAUCUAUCUAUCUAUCUAUCUAUCUAUCUAUCUAUCUUUCUAUCUAUCUAUCUAUCUAUCUAUCUAUCUAUCUAUCUAUCUAUCUAUCUAUCUAUCUAUCAAUCUAUCUAUCUAUCUAUCUAUCUAUCUAUUUAACUAUGAACGCAUUCUUUCAGCUUCCGUUUACCAAAUCUACUCAGAUCACAUUCGUUGGUCUGCGACUAUAGUAGAAGACUUCCAUUUAGAACAGAAGAUUCUUACCGUGCAGCCAGGCCUGCACCUACAGUAAUCAAUCCCAUGCCGGCAAUCGAACCCUGACCGACUGAACAAUAGCUAGGAAUUAUAUGUGUGUAUAUAUGACAUAUACACACAUAAUUGUUAUAUAUUUCAGCCAGUAUAGGCCCAGGCUAUGUAUAACUUAAUAGCACCAACUGGUGAAGCAGUUUAGAAUCUGAUUCCCAUCUCAGUCAUAAGACUUUUCAAUGUUGGAGACAGAUCCGGGUGUUGGAGGAUGGUCGGAGAUUUUUCAGGGGGAAAAUUUUUCCUGAGAAAUUUUGAAUUUUAUGGAAUCUGUUUUCGGCUUAAUGUAUUCUGCUUUAAUAUUACAAAGAGCUGGACCGGUUGAGGUAAAGUAUUCGUGUCAUAUACACGUAUACAUACAUACAUACAUAUAUAUAUUAUAUAUAUGCAUAUAUAUAUAUAAAUAUAUUAUAUAUAUGUAUGUAUAUAUAUAUAUAUAUAUAUUAAUAAUAAUAAUAUUAGGGAAUAAAUCCAAACUAAUAGGGAAAGGUUAGAUUUAGGAUUAAAUCCAAUUUUAUAGUAUAAAUAUAUUAUAUUAUAUUAUAUUAAAUAUAAAAAUAUACAUAUAUAUAUAUAUAUAUGUAUAUAUAUUUUUGUAUAUAUAUAUUUAAAAUAUAUAAGUUUAAAUUAUUUAAAUAAUUUGUUAAUUUUUAACUUUUAUAUUUUUUAAUUAAUUUUAUGUAUUGGCUUAUAUUUUUCAAUGUUUGAUUUGCCUAAUAGUGGUUUUAUCUGUAAUUUAAUAUAAUAUAUAUAUAUAUAUAUAUAUAUAUAUAUAUAAUAUUUAUAUAUGCAUAUAUAUAUAUAUAUUAAUAUAUAUAUAUAUGUAUAUAUAUAUAUAUAUAUAUAUAUAUAUAUAUAUAUAUAUAUAUAUAUAUAUAUAUAUAUAUAUAUAUAUAUAUAUAUAUAUAUAUAUAUAUAUAUAUAUAUAUAUAUAUAUAUAUAUAUAUACAUAUUUAUAUAUAUAUAUGUAUAAAUACAUAUAUAUAAAAAUUUGUGUCGUGCAUAUUUCUACUAAGAUAUUAAUGGAUGGAUGAUUCUUAACGUGUUUAGAGAGAUAGAUAGAUAGAUUGAACAAUCGAUCGUUUGAUAAAUAGAUAUAUUGGUAGAUAUGUAGACAGACUGACUGAACGUUUGAUAGAUAGAUAGAUAGAUAGAAAGAGAAAGAUAUAUACAGAUAGAUAGAUAGAUCGAUAGAUAGAUAGAUCGAUAGAUACAUAGAAAGAUCGAUUGAUUGGAUAGUUUCAUUCACUCGUGGUUAUAAAUGUCAGGAAGUUGUAGUUCGAUUCCUUACAGGCCAGUGAUGAACAGGUUCUGAAUUCAUGGACCUGGAAAGGAUAAAGACUAGGCGCGACUACGCGGAAUUUGAUCAUUAUCUUGAAAUAUUCAGUAUUGUAGAUGACAAUUAUAAAAGCCCCCAGAAAGGUUGUGCGAUAGAUAGUGUUGCAAAAUAGAAAGCAAUGAAUUUGUCAAUUACUAUACGUAGCAAAGACAUAGGAUUAGAAAAAUGUAAGUUAGUUUACAAGUCAAUAAUGAAUUGUGUUCCAUGUUGUAAGAUAGAGAUUGACAUUUCUUGCUGAAAUAUUUUACAUAGAAAGGCCUUAUAUAUGUACGUCUGCCGCUUUCGUGUGCAUACAUAAAUGAACAUGUAUGAAUGCAUCGCUUCAUGUGUAUAUUCGAAUGUGCGAACACACACACACACACACACACACACACACGUGUGUGUGUGUGUGUGUAUUUACUUCUGGAUGUAUUUUUCCUCCUGAGAUUCAGCUCAGAGCUGCAUCCAUGCUGAUGCACCAUCCAUCCAUCCAUCCAUCCACACAUACAUACAUACAUACAUACAUACAUACAUACAUACAUACAUACAUACAUACAUACAUACAUAGAUGUACCCAUACAGACACACAGACACAAUGACACACGCAUACACAGACAGAGACGCACAGAAAUAUAGAUACAUACACUAUGGUCUGUGUUUUCGGAUGAAGUUUUCGUGCUUAAUUGCCGAAGAAUUCCUUGGAUGAUUUGUUCCCAGAGCUCCCUCCGUCAAAUUAAUGAACAGGUCCAGAAAUGUGCCAUACGAUCAGUUGUCGAUAUAUUUGCAGUGCAAUAUCAAUAGUUUUGUUCAAGAACACAACGCCCCGCCUUCUGUUUGAACCGAACGUACAACCCUUUGUUCGUGAGUUUAAACCUGAAGCACUAAACCUCGUUGAAAUAUUUUAGCGUAUAUAAAUAUAUGCAUCUAUCCCUAUCAGACAGACUUACAUAAACGAACAAACACGCAUUCACAUGCAGAAAGAUACACACAAACGCAUAUAUAUCGGAUUGUUGGACCGCUGAAUUCCUACAGAUCUUUUUCCGUGAAAAUAAAUAUCUUUUCCAUUGAAAGAAAAAUAAAAGUCUCCAAAACCGUGUAUCUCUCACUAUACGUUAACAUGCACGAAGAAUGUAGCAAAUACAUUUGGGAAAACGGUUGUUCCAGUUUGUAAAUUUACAAGUAGAAGGGUAGAUAUCCCAGUAUUCAUUGAUUUCGCUUCCUGUGUCGAAUUGACACCCAAAGCUCAUCAGCAAGUCUUAUUACGUAAACUAUUUUUAAAAAUGUAUUUAACUUUCCGUGCUCGUUUGUUCAGCUGAAGGCACCGUCACAUCCGAACGAACAUUAGCGAGCAAGUAUAUAUUCUAUAUUCAAACAAGUUAUCAUUAUCUUUAAAAAAUAAUGAUAAAAUGGCCAACGAACAUAAUGCAAAUAUGAAAAAUAUAUAUGAAAAUUCAGGGUACAGUAAGUAACUAUUUACUUAAAAGAAGAAUAAAAUUCCUAAACCACGCAUCUCUCAAUAUAUAUAAACACGCACGAAGAAUGGUGCAAAUACUUUAAGAAUUUCCAUUUUAUGUUUGUUUGUCAUUGUUGAUUUCGGAAGUCGGGGGCCUUCAACUGAAUAAAGGUACACGGAAAGGUAAAUAUAUUUUUAAAAGUAGGUUACGUAGAAAGCGAAAUGAAUUGGUUCUGGGAUAUCUACCCACCUGUUUGUAGAUUUACAAACUGGAAGAUUAGUUUUUCUAAAUGAAUUUGCAACAUUCCCCGUGCGUGUUUUCGUUCGUUAGGCUUAAUUAACUCUCAUGGUGAUGGGUUUGCUUUUGACAUAUAAAAGCAUGAAAUAAAGGAGUACCCGAUGAACAGAGGAGGUAAGAAAGCGGUAAGCCACCAAAAUGUAACGCAACGAUGAAAAUUUGGUGGAAUCAUCAAUGAAAUUGUCUCCUACAUCUUCAAAAGAAGCUGUCCAAAAGUGCCAUUAUUGUAUUGCUUAGCUUUAAAUUCUAAACAUUGAUGAAUUUUCAGAAAAUCUACUUCUAUGAUGUUAUUUCUAUUUUUUCAUAGAACCGUUUUCUUUUCAAGAAAUCUCUGGAUGACAAAGCUGUUCACACGCCAAGUAAGAACUAAUUUUAUAUCGUGCAAGAUAAAAGCGUAAAAGAAAUGUCCGUGUUCGGAUUAAAUAUUAUAAAAUAUUCUGUUUCAAUCUCUGUUAGCUAAAUUCAUUUAAAUGUGUCUCCUCACCUACUAGCUUCUAAUUCUUUUCGGGUUCCAUUCGUUUUUCAUUUUUUACAUAAUCUGCUCAACGAAAUACACAACUUUAAAUUGCAUGCUUAGAUAAAUUUGGAAAUGUGACCCUCUGAUGCUAUGAUAUUAACUAUGUUUAUAUGAGUUUAUAUGCAGGACCACGUCAAUAAAUGAAAGCAAUUUUGUGUACAUGUAAGUCUAUAAUCUGGAAAAAAGUAUGUAAGAAAUAUUUUCAUUUCAGAUCUAAUGUUAGUGUAAGCAAUAAGAAAUUGUAGGGUUUACCCUAUGUUGUAGUAAGAAACCGAAUCAAUAAAACCAUCCACAUAUUGUUGUUGCUCAGUAAUUCUGCGAGUCUGGUGGUUGUAGAGAAACCAGGCACCUGUCUUCGAGGGCCAUUCCAGAAGGAAGCAAUUGUUAUUAAGAUUACCGGUUUAGUUGACAAGCGUAACCAAUCCGAGCGGAUGGGUACUAUCUACCCAUCUCUUUUCGGGUCUAUCCCCAGAUCCCUCGCCGGCUGAUCCAGAUUGAAGAGUUUGUAUUGUGAUUCUUUUCUGUGAGAUUGAAAUCGCAUGUCCUUAGUACUUGAGCUGUCAUCUCUCAAUGCAGAGAACCAGAAGUUCGAACUGGAGACAUUUGCUGAUCUCUGAUUAACCAUCGCAGUCGAAUUAACGUUGCUCAAGAGAUCCCUUGCAAUUCGCAUAAUUUCGGUCGUAGUAUUUCAGUCACGAAAUUUUAAUUUCAACACCAAUAGUUAAUGUCUUUUACCUUCGUGUUCCGUAGUGUUUCUGGUUUAGUGUUCUGUACAUUUGCAGGUCCUAUACUUAAGAAUAUUAUAGAAAUAUUUUUAAAGGCAACACUUCUUUCAUUAUAAUUAAUGAUAUUCACCUUUCUAAUUAAAAAAAAUGAUAUUAUACUAAAUAGCUUUUAAAUACAGAUGUUUUACAAAUGUUAAAUUCUCUUUGCACCUAAAAUUAAAAAUCAAUUAAUAGCAGCAUAUCUGUUACAAAUAAAUACAUUUCUACAGAAUUUUUAUUUUGAAAUAAUGUUAUAUUCUUGUUGUAAUGAGUGAAAUUUAUAUUUUAAUAUGACAUUUAUAUGUUUUUGUUCUAAUGCAUAAAAACAUAUAAAAAUAUGUAAUCGCAAAAAUAUAUUAUAUAACUGUUUAAUAUUUUUAGAGGUUUUUUUUCCAACGCAUUUGUCUCACUGAAAGAUUUCAUUUCUCUUCAAAUAAUACAUUUCUUCUCUCUAAAAUGAAUCAAUAUUUAAAUUCUUAUCAAAAAAUUAUUACCAAAACCCUUUCGUUACUUAAAGCCACAUAGCUGAAUUUGUAGCAAAUAUCUUUUGACAAAGCUUUCACCAUUAGAUUCGUUUCAUAGAGCUCUUUAACCGGCAAAGCGGAGAAAGAAGCGGCUUGCAGCGGCCACAGAAAAUCCGUUUACGCGCUAACUAGAAUAAAGUGAUCAUUGAAAUCAGAUGAUGCAUUUCAUAACACUAAAAAUCUUAGAAUGACAAAAAUAUUGUAAUUUUUUUACACUGAUUUCACGUAUUUUGAUCUAGUCUUUUAUUUAAUACACCAAACAUGAAUUACUUUAUCUUAAAAUUUAGCUCAAGACUCGAUCAUUAUUUCUAAAAAACCGCAUUGAAUUCGGCUGAGAAGUGAAUUAGUGAUGAAUCAUGCAAAUCUUUACGAGAAUCAGUUUCGUGUUCAUAGUAAAAAGAAUUUUCAAACACUACCUUUUCUUUCUUUCUUUCUUUCUUUCUUUCUUUCUUUCUUUCUUUCUUUCUUUCUUUCUUUCUUUCUUUCUUUCUUUCUUUCUUUAUUUCUUUCUUUCUUUCUUUCUUUCUUUCUUUCUUUCUUUCUUUCCUUCCUUUCUUCCUUUCACCUUUCUUCCUUCCUUCCUUCUUUACUUACUUCAUACCUUCCUUCCUUUCUUUCGUUCAUUCUUUCUUUCUUUCUUAUCUCUUAAAUCCUUUAUCAAUUCCCCAACUAGCCUUCCUUCCUUCCUACCUAUCUUCCUUCCUUCCUUCCUUCUUUCCUUCCUUCCUUUCUUCCCACCUUUCCUUCCUUCCUACCUUCAGUCCUUUCUUUCUCCCACACCUUCCUUCCUUGCUUCCUCCCACCUCUUCCUUCCUUCCUUCCUCCCACCUCUUCCUUCCUUCCUCCUACCUCUUUCUUCCUUUCAUCGUUCCUUCCUUCCUCCUUCCUUCCUUCCUUCUUGCCUUCCUUCCUUCGUUCCACCCCUUCCUUCCUUCCUUCCUUCCUUCCUUCCUUCCUUCCUUCCUUCCUUCCCCAUUUCUUUCUUUCUUUCUUUCUUUCUUUCCUUCCUACCUUCCUUCCGUCCUCCCUCCCUUCCUUCCUUCCUUCCUUCCUUCCUUCCUUCCUUCUUUUCCUUCCUUCCUUCCUUCCUUCCUUCCUUCCUUCCUUCCUUCCUUCCUUCCUUCCUUCCUUCCUUCCUUCCUUCCUUCCUUCCUUCCUUCCUUCCUUCCUUCCUUCCUUCCUUCCUUCCUUCCUUCCUUCUAAUCAUUGUCUCCCCAAUUCAUUAAUUCCCAGCCAAGAAAUUCUCUCCCACAUGGUUCACCAAUUAUUUUCUUUUAAACUAAAUUGUUUCCUUCGCAAUUUCGCAGGACCCGGUUCUGGAUCACUGUAUACCCGGUGGGGUAGAACAAAAUGUCCAAGUAAUUCCAGUCUGGUAUACGAUGGUUAGUAUAUUUUGUUUCUAAUCUCUCUCUCUAUUUCUUUCUUUCUUCUCUCUCUCUCUCUUUCUCUUCCUCUCUCUCUCUCCCUCCUUCUUUCUGAUCUACACAAACGUUUGUCCUAUUAUAGUAUAUCACGUUUUAAACGGCGAUUAUGGAUUCUCUUGAGAUUACACAAAACUACUUUCUCCGUUGAGUUUAUUUGGUGAUAGCCGAAGUAUAAAUGCCGUCAAGAAUGAUCACACGAACAGGAUAUCAUCGAAAGUACCCCCAUGAACCCAACCAAAGAAUAUAGUUACCUGAGGACUGUAUGCAUUAUCUACGCACCAUUCCACUACUUAAUCUCGAUAGUGCCUCAUGGUAAGGCAAUUCUGAGCUUUCCACUCAGAAGACACUAUUUUCCACCUCUUCCCCAUCAACUUUUCUUUCUUUAAAUGAGAUUUGUUUUUGCUUGAAAUACGAUGGAACAGAUUUUACCUGUCUGUAACCGAACCCUUCACGGUUUCAUUAAAUGUUUCCCUAUUCAGCCUAAACUGAACCUUACAAUCCUUUCUCCACUGACUUUCCUUAAGACGUAAAAUAACCCCAGUGAUGCAGCAAAUAAAGCCAACGUGACCAUAACGUGUAUCUUCACGUGACCUGUCCACGACUAGCCGAGAGUUUCAGCUACGCUGUGCAGGAUGUUCCGUUAAAUAACUUUUAACUACCCAUCGACUGUCAAUACUCUGCACCUCACCGGGUUCUUCUAUUUUAUAUUGGCUAAAAAUUCCUUGUAUCGUUAUUCUAUUUUAUCUCGUCUUUUCCAUUUUAGAGGAAAUGCGUGACGUAACGGCCUUCCCUUCACACUCUUUUGACAUCUGCACACAACCAUCUACAGCCAUGUAUCUAGACAUAUUCACAAAUAUUACCUACACAAACACGUUGGCGUACACCUACAACAUAUAUACAUAUAAAUCAUAGACACGUACAGUUCUUAACUCAUACACAAACAUUCAUUCAGCAACACGGCUUACACACGCAUCGAUAGUAGUUUCUAUACACAUCCUACACACGUAAACAUAGUGAAUGUUCAAACACAUAGACACACGCACACGCGCACACACAUAGACACAAAUACACACACACACACACACAUAAACUCAAUCACACUCACAGACACACACACACACACACACACACACACACACACACACACACACACACACACGUAUGUGUGUGUAUAUAUAAUCGCCAAUUUAAAAUUGAAAUUUCCUUUUCAAGUAUUCCUUAUAAUCCGCGUUUUUCUGAUUUCGAUUAAAUUUUAUUUUAUAUAUUUGAUUUAUUCUUACCAAUUCUAGGUGUGGUUGGUGGACCAGCGCAUAACGAAACAGGCAGCGGAAGUAAUCUCUUAUGUCUACCUAACGACCCCAUUUGGGCCAAUUACAAUGGAGGAGUUACAAGUUGGGGUCACAUGUAUGGCAGUGAAUAUGAAACAUCAAAUUCCGAUGCGAAAAAACUCUUUUCUUUUGCUAACGCUGAAUCAAUUCAUGAUCACAACGUUCCGUGUGCUGUCUGUUUGACACGACAACCUGCUGUUGUUAUGAUGUUACCAGCCAGGACAAAGUGUUACGAUGGUUGGACAGCUGAGUAUUCAGGAUAUUUAAUGACCGAGCAUUAUAGUCAUAAAGGCAGACAUGAAUAUGUGUGUGUGGACUAUGCACCAGAAGCUGAUCCGGCGGGUUACAGAAACGAAAAUGGAGCCUUAUUAUAUUUUGUGAAGGGAAUUUGUGGUUCAUUGCCCUGUCCACCAUAUGUCUAUGGUCGUAUAUUAACCUGCGUUGUGUGCAGUAAAUAUUGAAGGGAAUAUAGUUGAAUUUGCUUCUCUAUGAAAACUUAUGUUAACCAAUUACAAGACAUAAUAUAAUAUCAUAAAACAAUAUAGACAUUUUAAAUUCUGUUUGAUAAUAUUUUAUCGAAGUUAUAUAAAUCGUUAAAAUACUCUGCGCUACUAGUUGACAGAAAAAUAUUAUAAUGGAGAGAAAACCGGCGCCAGAGAAUGUGAGAAUUAUGCUUAUAGAACAAUGCAAAGCUGAAUGAAUAAUUCUAGAUAAACAUUGUAUAAGGAUCAGUUCAUAAAACUAAAAUGUGGAAAUAAAAUUGUAUUUCGUUUAACUGUAUUUUGUGUUCUGUCUUAAAUAUCAAUAAACCCCACUUGAAGUAAUAUCAUAGAAAUAUAUGAUGGUUCCAUCAUUUUUGAGAGGAAUGUAAGUAGUAAUCCUCUCACCACCUAUUUUGUUUUUACCUGUCUCUAUACCACCUCGUGACCCCACCACAAGUUUAGUUGACAUCCUCAUAACCGGAACACGUAACCCUCACCCGUUGCACCAUUUCCUAAACGGCAAAAGGACGUAGAAAGAUAAUGAGGGUAAGCAAAGUUACUCUGUGUAAACUGUGUGAUAUGUUGAGACUGUUACACCACAUCCAAUAAGAAACAUCACUAUGUGUUAGUGUAGAAUAUUCCUUAGAUUAAAGAGAAGAAGAUGGAUAUUUGGGAGACACAACGUCUUUCAUGCAAGUAAUUGAGUGCCAUAAGGUUGCCAUUAAGAAAAUGCAUGUAUUUAGACAUUUAUAAUAGGAAGCAACUUAAAGGUAUACAUGUGUGUGUGCUUAACCCAAUAAGCUUUUUGCAAAAUCAGACCGCCAGUGACUAUAACGGCAAAGCAAUCAAGAAUGGAAUCUGGUUUUCAUGGGACACCCUGCAGGACGAUAAAAAAUCCUGUCAAAGGAGAAGUCAAUUAAGCCGAGUCAUCGUUCAUUGAACAAAUUGGGGCGAGAGACUCUUGAGCGAUUUUGUUGUUAGAAUGUCUUUCAAGGAGAGGUUAAAGUCGUAUAUAAAACCCUGCUGUGCAAUUGGGUUCCUGGUUGCUUCCACUUCGUUUGUGCCCCUGGUGUUGGUACAGCACAUCUGUUUAUCCACUGAAAACAAAUUUAAGCCUAGGAUCAUUUUGGAUUCUUGGAACGGUACAUGGUGGAUCAAAAUGGCCAACGGCAAUGGAAAAGUAAUGAAUGAUACAAACUUUAAAAGCUGGGAAGUUGUAAAUAUUUUAAUCCAAGUACGGAUUUGGUUGCGUCACCUUAUGUGAUAAUAUUUGAUAAUAAAGGCAUUCAGUGACUGGGCGGCACAUUUCAGUCAGCGCAAUCACUGCUCACCUUCUAGCGGAUGGGUCCGAGAAAAGGUGGUUUAAAGAAAGUUUACCACUACCAAACAGUCCAGGAGUUCGAGGGUGUUUACUGUUCACUCAUGCGGGUGUAAUACACCCAUCCGACUAACAUCAUUGUCUGUCAUGGGUGAGUCCUGAAUAGCCCCAUGUAACCAAAGGUGGAAUAACUGAUUAUAGUAAAUAGGAACUGAGAGACAGUUGGCGGUGUUAGUUCAACAAUAGUUUAUGGAACAGUGUAUGCUGGGUAUCGGACUUACGUUCGAGUAGCGCAGAGUGCGUUUUGUGUUGACAUAUAUUUCUGCGAUAGGUUACUUUUAGAUAGUCACAACCAACAAUUUAUUUGUUUAAUACCAUUAUACACUAGACGUGUAUAACUACGUCAUAACAUUUUUAGCGACGAAGUUAUUCGAAGCUCAUACCGGACCGAUUUGUCUCUUCACAUGAGAGCUUUACUAGCCUCGGUAAUUUAAUGACAGCAACAAAACCAGCAAAAGCAAUAAAGAUAAUGGCAACAGUCGUUGGAAUUUGGGAAGUAACAUCAAUUUUUAGUACAACUGAUACAGAAGAAAUGAGAAAAUUCAUCUGAUUCGUUCAUCCCUGUCCCUGUCGCAAAACUUGAUUGGAGGGUUCGCACAUAAGCCAGAGGAAGGUACAACCUUCCCUGCUUACUUUUGAAGAUAUAAGAACAUUUUUACAGAAGAAUGCUGUACCUGGCAAGACGAGAAAACACUGGACUUUUGUUGAGAAAGCUGGCACCAGCCGAGUAUGUGAAAUAUUGAAAUUAUAUAUUAUGAAAGAAACUGAGUGAAAUCUGUUUUGAAGAAACGGUGAAUAUUCUAUCAAAGAUUUUCAACCAAAAAUGCUUAAUAGCGAAUGCGAAAGAUUUAAAAUUAAUGAAUCAACAUCAGAUAUGUUUAAAAGCUUAAUUUAUUUUCUUUCAAGUUUUAAGUGCCAAGAAAGUUGCAGGAAUUCGAAACAGAAUAUUGACUAAAUUAGUGCAGGAUGAGAAGCAAACACGACAAGAAAUAUCUGAGGAAUAGCAGAGAAUGAUGAACCUAUUGCACGAUAUGAAGAAACUGAAGGAAGGAACUGCUCCAGUACACAGUGGAUAUACAAUUUACAUUGGAUAGGGUACUUUGGUGUGUAUAUGUCUGAAUAAAUGCAACUGCAUAAGUAUACACACACACACACAUAUAUAUAUGUAUGUAUAAAUAUAUACAUACACACAUACAUACAUACAUAUAUAUAUAUAUAUAUAUAUAUAUAUAUAUAUAUAUAUCUUACAUAAGAUUUCUGAAAGUCCGUUUAAGUUAGUUUAUUUGGAUUUUGAAAUUAGCUAUUUCUUCUUUAAAUAUGAAAAAUUAAAUUUAUUAGGUUUUUAUUAUAUACAAUUAUUUAUAGAGAUUAUUUUACAUCUUGAUUAUAAUAUUUAUAUAUAUAUUUUCAUUGAUAAUAUAUAUAUAUUAGUCAUUUUAAAUAUUUAUGUAAUUAGAUAUAGACUAAUAUUGAUAUUAGAUUAUGGGUUUCCUACCUUAUGAAUUAAAAUUAAUAUUUAACAUUAUAGUCGAUUUGGAUAUAAUCAUAUUUGAUAAUAGAGUUUAUUAUAAGUAAAAUUAUUAUAUUAUAUAUAUUAUUUAUAUCUUAAAAAAUAUUGAUUAUAUUUUAGAUAUUUAAACCACCUGAUGAACGACUGUAACUCGAAAAUUUAAAGAAAUUAACAGCCAUGAAACGACCGUAGUGUUAUACUCUUUACUCUUUUCCUCUUUUACUUGUUUCAGUCACUUGACUGCGGCCAUGCUGGAGCACCACCUUUUAGUACUUAUUCUAUCGGUCUCUUUUUGCCGAACCGCUAAGUGACGGGGACCUAAACACACCAGCAUCGGUUGUCAAGCAAUGCUAGGGGGACAAACACAGACACACAAACACACACACAUACACAUAUAUAUACAUAUAUACGACAGGCUUCUUUCAGUUUCCGUCUACCAAAUCCACUCACAAGGCAUUGGUCGGCCCGGUGCUAUAGCAGAAGACACUUGCCCAAGAUGCCACGCAGUGGGACUGAACCCGCAACCGUGUGGUUGGUUAGCAAGCUAUUUACCACACAGCCACUCCUGCGCCUAUAUUAAUUAUAUUUUUUUAAAUAAUUUUGUUAUAUAUUUAAAUAAUAUAAAUUAAAUAAUCUUAUGUAUUGGCUUAAGUUUUUCAUUGUAUGAUUUGCCUAAUAGUGGUUUUAUCUCUAAUUUAAUAUUAUAUAAUAUUUUACUAUAAAAUUGUAUUCAAUCCUAAAUCUGAUUUUUCCCUGUAAGUUUGGAUUUAUUCCCUAAUAUUUAUUAUUAAUUAAUAUAUUGAUAAAUUACGUAUAUUGAGUGUAACAUCUCAACUUCGUAAUUAUGGAAUUUACAGGUAAGAUAGAACCGCUAUUUUGGAAUUCAUCAUUGAAGGAUAUUCCAGUACCUUCUAGAAAGGAAUUUAUUUUGAAACUUAUUAAUAAUAUUAAGGAUUUUUUUCUAGAAUUAAAUGGAAAGCUUACUAUUAUAACUAUAAUAUAUCUAAUCUCAAUGAUAGUAUGAAUGAUAAUUUUACCUCUAAUUUUAAAUCCAAAAAGGAACCCCAUUUAAUAGAGAAUUACAAAGACUAGAAGAUAAUAUUUGGAAGGUGGUGAAAAACAUUAAAUUUCAUAAAUACCCAAACAGAAAUAAUGAAUCUUUAAGAAAUUUAGCAAUUAGAAUAAAAGAAAUGAGAAAUAUGGAUGGUAUUAUUGUACAAUCUGAUAAAACUAGGAAUCUCUAUAAAUUAGAUGUUGAAUUAUAUGAUAACCUUUUAGAGAAAGAAAUAAUUAAAAAAUAUAAAAUUGUUCCAGAUAGUAAACUUUAUAAUAUUAAUAAGGCCUCUAAAUUAGUAAUGAUAAACUAUGAAUUGGAUAAUAAAACUGAACCUUAUGUACCUAUGCACCCUAGAAUUACUCUGAAAGACCAUUAAGAUAAUUUUUAUUCAGACCCUAAAGUUUAAUUUGUCCAUGUAAAUGUGACCUCGGUAAAUUAAGUAAACUUAUUUUAGAUAAAUAUAUUAAGAAAUUAAAUAAACUUAAUUACUUAAAAUUAUGGUUUAGUAAUGAUAAUACUUUGAAUUGGCUUAAUAAUAUUAAAGAUAAAAAUCGAUAUAAAUUUAUUCAAAUAGAUAUAGUUAAUUACUAUUCUUCUAUUAAUGAAAUUGUGUUUAAUAAGGCCCUUAUUUUUGCAAUGAAUAAAGUGGGAAUGACAUUUGAAGAAGUUAAUGUAAUUAAAAUGGCUAGGAAAUCGCUUAUUAAAUAUAAAAAUAAAUUAUGGGCCAGGAAAGAUACUAGGGAUUUUUUUGAUAUACCUAUGGGAGCACCUGAUUCUGCACAAGCUACGGAUUUAGUAGGUAUUUAUCUUUUAUCUGAACUCCAAUUAGAAAAUUUAAAAAUAGAGGGUAGUUUAUAUAGGGAUGACCUUCGACUAAUUACUAAGAAUUGCACUAAUAGGAACCUAGAAGUAUAUAAGAAAAAACUUUAUAGUUUCUUUAAAAGAUAUGGUUUAAGUAUCACUAUAUAUAAUGAGAAUUUUAAUGUUAAUUAUUUCGAUGUUAAUUUUAAUCUAAUUACAGGUAAAACACAACCAUAUCAUAAACUUAAUGAGAACCUUAGAUAUAUAAACGUUAAUAGUAAUCACCCACCAUCAAUUAAAAAAUCGUUGAUUAAUAAUAUAAGUAAACGUAUAUCAUUACUUUCUUAUGAUUUAGAGAUUUUUAAUAAACAUGCUCCUUAUUAUAAUGAGGCCCUUAGAGAGGCAGGGUAUAAUAGUAAUAUUAAAUUUUUUAUUAAAAAUAAAGAUAAAGAUAUAACUAAUAAUAUUAGAGAUAAAAAUAUUAAUAAUAGUAAUAAUAAUUUUGUUAGUAAUAGUGGUAAUAAUAUUAGAAAUUAUAAAAAUAAAAAUAAAAUAAAUAAAAAUAAGAAUAAAAAUAAAAAUAAAAAUAAAAUUAAUAACUUCAAUAAUUCUUUAAAUGUUAAUUAUAAAUAUAAAUCUGAUAAUAAUAAUAUAAAUAUGAUAAAGAAAUAUAAUAACAACAAUAAUAAUGACAGUUUUAGUAAUAAGAAGAAGGAAAAUUAGAAUAAAAUUUGGUUAAUAGUUCCUUAUGGUGCUCAAGUUAAAACGAACAUUAUUAAAGAGAUUUUAGAUAUUAUUGAACUAUUUAUUCGAGAUAAUCGUAAAUAUAAAAACAUUUUCUCUAGUAAUAAUUUUGGAGUAGGUUAUUCCACCACUAAUAGUGUAGGUAACAUUAUUUCUUCUUUUAACAAAUUUAAACUGAAUAAUUUUUAUAAAAAUAAAGUAUAUAAUAAUACCAAUAAUAAAGACAAGACACUAAUUAACUGUGCAUGUAGAGAUAAAACUAAAUGUAAAUUAAAUAAUAAAUGUGAUACUAAUGAUGUAGUGUAUAAAUGUAUAGUUACAUUACAUGAUAAGAAUAAUAAGAAUAAUUAUAACUCAAACGCAUUAUAUAUAUAGGGUCCACUUCCUCUAAAAUAAAAUUAAGAAUCGCACAACAUAUGAAUUCAUUUAAAAAUAAAAACUUAAUUAACUCCACUGGACUUAGCAAGUACAUUUGGAGACUUAAAUUCCAAAAUAUUAAUUAUAAUUUAUCUUGGGAAAUAAUUAGUAAAACUAAAUCAUAUACUAUAGGAGCGAAUUUUUGUUAUUUAUGUUCUAAUGAGUUUAAGGAAAUUUUAUUUUAUAAGCAUGAUAAUUUACUGAAUAGCUGUGAUGAGCGCAAAAUAAAAUGCAGACACAAGUUACUUUACUUAUAUAAUAAAUUUCUUGAUAAAUAAUGAUUAUUUCUUAGCCUUAAUUAGCUCCCUAUUUGUUGUUUUAUGUAAUAGUAUUAUAAAUAUACCAGGUGAUUUGUAGUAUUUAUUAUAUUAGUUUAUUUUAGUUAUUUAGGUUCUGUUUUUAAUUAUAGUUAGAUUAUAGAUGGUUGUUGAUUUUAUUACUAAAUAUUUUAUUACUAAAUAUAUUUUUAAUAAAUAUUUAAUGGUUUAUUGAAUAUAGAGUCUGGUAAGUUACAAUUUUAUUUAUUUUAUAUAUUUUGUUAUAUUUCUAUUAUAACUUCGUUAAAUUAUAAUUUUGUUAUAUUAAUCAAUUUGUAUGUAAUCUCUUUAUAUUUGAAAUAGUUUUAUUUAGUUGUUUAUUUAAUCCAUAUUAUUUAAUAUAGAAGUAUAGAUUAGUAGAUUAAUAUUUUAGAUUUAACUUAAUAUUUACCUCUAUUUUGUAUUGUAGUAUGAUUAUAGACAUUUAUAUAUCUAUUUAUUUAUAAUAUAUGUGGAUGUGUGUGUAUGUAUAUAUGUGUAUAUGAUGAUGUAUAUAUAUAUAUAUAUAUAUAUAUAUAUAUAUGUAUACGAUUUAUUUAUAUGUAUGUGUGUGGGUGUGUAUAUAUUGGUGUAAGUGUAUAUAUUGAGUAUUGUAUGUAUGUACAUGUAUGUAUGAGUGUGCAUAUGUGUAUGGGUGUAAGUGUGUGUAUGUUAUGUGUGUAUAUAUGUAUAUGAAUGUAUGUGUGUAUGUAUGUGUAUAUGUGUAUGUAUAUGUAUAUGUAUGUAUAUAUGUAUAUAUAUAUGUAUAUAUAUAUGUAUAUAUAUAUGUAUGUAUAUUUUCUUAUAUAUUUAUGUAUACGUAUGUAUAGUUAUACUACAAAUUUUGAUAAGUAUUUAUAGAUUUGUUAUGAUCACUAAUUUUGCUUAUGAUUAUAAGGGCAUGGGAAAGAAUUUAUAGUAUGUAGAGGGGUUAUUAUAUAAAUUAAUUUUUAUGUAUUUAUUAAUCUUAUAAGAUUUUUAGAAUAUAUUUAAUAAUUAGUGGUUUUUAAUCAUUUAAAUCAUUUAAUUUAUUUUGUAUUAAGUUUCAUUUAUCAUAGUUAUUUUAUUAAUAAAUAUUAUAGUAUAGAGAGAUUUCAUUCUUUAUUUGUGAAUUCAUUCUUUUUACAAUGAUAAACAUAUAAUUUUCCAUUCAUAAUCUUUAAUAAACGUAGGUUCCUCGCGCGUAAUGAAUUCUUCAACAAUAUAUUCUUUUUUUUUGCUAAUAACGUAAUUCCAUGAGUAUUCUUAUAAACGCUGUAAAAGACGUUUUUUGAUUCAAAAUUUUAGUUCAUUGAUUAAACCUCGCCAAGUUAAGUAUGUAUUUAUUUAAGAUCUUCAAAUUGUAAAUUUUAAUAUUGUAUAAGCCUUUGGAGUAAUAAUAUUCUCCUUAUGUAAAUAUCGCUGUUUACGUAAUGAUCUAAUUAUCGUAAGUUUCUAUAUUAUUAGAUAUUAAAUUUAAGUUUAUUCGUAAGAUACUUUUUAGUGAUAGAUUUAUUAUUUGAUAGCAAGCAUACUAGGUGUAUUAAGUUAGGCUUUGUAUAUACACGUUUUAAUAGUAUUAAUUGUAGUUUUAAAUUUAUAAUCAAAUUAGAUAAACUUUGAUAAAUUUAGAUAUGUUUCGACUAUAGAUUGGUCUAGGCCAUGACUAAUUUAAUAGCAUAACUUAGUUAUUUCUUUAAAUUUAUAUUAGAUAAUUAUUCCCAUUCAUAAUUAUAUUUAUAGUACUUAUAGUAUUUAUUCGAUACUAUAUUGCUAAGAAUUGAUUAUUUCUAAAAGUAUUUUACAUAAGAUUUCUGAAAGUCCGUUUAAGUUUGUUUAUUUGGAUUUUGAAAUUAGCUAUUUCAUCUUUAAAUAUGAAAAAUUAAAUUUAUUAGGUUUUUAUUAUAUACAAUUAUUUAUAGAGGUUAUUUUAGAUCUUGAUUAUAAUAUUUAUAUAUAUAUUUUCAUUGAUAAUUUAUAUAUAUUAGUCAUUUUAAAUAUUUAUGUAAUUAGAUAUAGACUAAUAUUGAUAUUAGAUUAUGGGUUUCCUACCUUAUGAAUUAAAAUUAAUAUUAAACAUUAUAGUCGAUUUGGAUAUAAUCAUAUUUGAUAAUAGAGUUUAUUAUAAGUAAAAUUAUUAUAUUAUAUAUAUUAUUUACAUCUUAAAAAUAUUGAUUAUAUUUUAGAUAUUUAAACCACCUAAUGAAUGACUGUAACUCGAAAAUUUAAAGAAAUUAACAGCCAUGAAACGAUCGUAGUGUUAUAUUAAUAAUAUUUUUUUAAUAAUUUUGUUAUAUAUUUAAAUAAUAUAAAUUAAAUAAUCUUAUGUAUUGGCUUAGGGUUUUCAUUGUAUGACUUGCCUAAUAGUGGUUUUAUCUCUAAUUUAAUAUAAUAUAAUAUUUUACUACAAAAUUGGAUUCAAUCCUAAAUCUGAUUUUACACUGUAAGUUUGGAUUUAUUCCCUAAUAUUUAUUAUUAUUAUAUGUAUGUAUAUAUAUAUUUAUAUAUAUAUAUAUAUAUAUAUAUAUAUAUAUAUAUAUAUAUAUAUAUAUAUAUAUAUAUAUAUAAAUAUAUAUACAUAUAUAUAUAUAUAUAUAUACAUAUAUAUAUAAAUAUAUAUACAUAUAUAUAUAAAUAUAUAUACAUAUAUAUAUAAAUAUAUAUACAUAUAUAUAUAAUAUAUAUAUAUAUAUAUAUAUAUAUAUAUAUAUAUAUAUAUAUAUACAUAUAUAUAUAAAUGCCAGGUCGAGCAUCUCCUUGCUAGCGAAAGUCAUGCCCCCUCAAAUGAUUCUGUAAACUACGAAACAAAUGGUAGUCUGAAGGAGGAAGAUCGGGAGAAUAAGGUGGAUGAGGAAUUUUUCCCAACCAACCUCUUCGAUCUUCUGUGGUAUGAUGUUUGCAUAAGAAGAAAAGACCCCUUUACCAAGCUACUGCUUACGACGUUUAACAUUUCGAUAGAAGAUCCAUUUUUCGUCACCAGUCACAAGUCUAUCCAAAAAGGGUGAAAUGAGUUCGCGAGAAUGGAGAGAAGAGCAGAUGUCAACUGGGCACUUGCGGUUGCUUUCGGACAAUUCCUGAGGUACCCAUAUUCCAACUUUUGGAACCUUUCCAAGUUGUUGAAGAUGACAAUGAACAAUUGUCUGGCUUGAAAUAAGCUUUAUUGCCAAUUCUUCAACUAAAAAUGAAGGAUUUUCUUCAGGUAAGGCCUCAUGGGAAUUAUCACUAAACUCACCUGGACGUCGUGUUCGAUCCUCAUCUUCUAGGCUGAAAUUUCCACUUCUGAAAUUUGCAAACCAUCUUCUGCAAGUUCUUCCAUUCAAGCAUUCUUUCCCAUAAACCGAGUGUAUGUUUCGAGUCGCUUCGUUUGCAGAGUUUCCUUUUCUUUUGUACUUAUAAAGAAUUUGGUGCUUCAGAUGUUCUUUGGAUACUUCCACGUUAGAAAGGGUUUUAAUCAAAGAAAUUUUACUUUUAUUAUUCUGCAAAAUAAUAUUUAUUUAGUAAAUAUACAAAUGCAUAAAUAUGUUUUUUAAUUCCAUUAGACAUUCUAAAAUAUUAUAUUUCAUUCGAUUUAAAAGAGAAAAAUCGGACAGAACUUAUGGGAUGACCUGAUACACACACAUAUACAGACACUCACAGAAACACACACACACACACACACAGACACGCACAGACACACACAGACAAACACACAGACACACACACUGACACACACAUCACACACACUCACACUCAUAUAUAUGUACAUAAACAACAUCCGGGAGUGGGAAACCAGGGUACCAAAGUUACUGUGAUUUGAGGGCUGUGGAAGCACAUCUUACCCCUUUGUUCCCAGAUGUAACCUGACCCAGGUUAGUAGCACAUGUUAGGGUCCCAGCUAGGAUCCUAGUCUAGGAAAAGAAAUCCUCGAUAUAAAACCACUGUAGCGCUGGAUCUGUCGUGCAGACCUUGAUUAUAUCUGAUGUACCCGGUAGCACGCUGCAUCCACCCCAACCAAAUCUAGUUUAUCCCCAAUCCCUAUUGUGCUACUGUUGAGGGCAGGUGGCUACGUGCGGGAGCGCUGUAAUCUCUGGAUAUGAUUCACACGAAAUAAAAUCAUCUUUCAGUCAGUGUCGCUCGCUACAGAUUAGUCAUUCGGGUACAAGUAAAUUCCGACUACGACUCAUAUACAGUGAGGCCCCACCCGGCUGUUCUCGGUGUCCUACAUGUUGGAAUACCUGCAUUCUAACGGAUUCUAGAAUUAUAUGAAACUAACACACACACACACACACACGCGCGCACACACACACACACACACACACACACACACACACACACACACACACACACACACACACACACACAGAAUACAUUUUGAUUAUCAUAAAUUUAUCGUCAGCAGAAAUAUUCUAAUAAGAUUAAGUGUAAAUAAAAUGGAAUAAUCUUUAACAUCAGGUUUGUUAUGAAGUAACCAAUAAAAACACUAGACUGCAUUAAAUAAAGCUUUGCAGUUACAGUCUGUACAGAUGUUGAACGGACAAUGUAGUCCCCUACAUGAAUAUUACAGCAGUUUCGCAAAAAUAAAGAAGUAAACAUUAAGAAAUAAUAAAUAAGAAUUCUUCAACAAAUUGGCAUUUGUUUUCAGUUUACAAAUUUGUGCUGAAGUCAGUAAAAUAUUCUGCUGACUGUUCUGUGUUAAUCAUGGAUCAUCUCCAUCCAAUCACAAAAGGUGUCAUUUAAAAGGUGACACCCACAAUUAUUGUAAUAUCAAUCUGAUUGGUUCCUGAAUUUACGAUUAGAUUUUCGGCAGGGUUGGGUUGUGGAGGGGGAACAAUAUUAAAAAGCCGGAAUCAGACGUCAACAAUUUUCAGUUACGAUCCCAAAGCGAGAAGCUCACACUUAUAAACUCCAGCUUACAUCAACUUCAGAUUUAUCAUUAAACCAAAACGAAGUAACAGGCUGCACGGACGACCGAAAACCGCAAUGGAAAUCGCUCAGGUGGGGAAGAUCAUUUGGCAGCGGUUUUCCGUUUCUUCUUUCAUAACUUUUGGACUGUGUCUCGUGUUGACCAUCACGAUUCUUCAUUUCGAUGCAAGGACCAGAAAGAUAGAAGAAAAAUCAACCGCAA